rnacentral:rRNA from 1 species
AUUAGUUAGAUGGUAAGGUAACGGCUUACCAUGACUAUGAUGUCUAGGGGUUCUGAGAGGAAGGUCCCCCACACUGGAACUGAGACACGGUCCAGACUCCUACGGGAGGCAGCAGUGAGGAAUAUUGGACAAUGGAUGGAAAUCUGAUCCAGCCAUGCCGCGUGCAGGAAGAAUGUCCUAUGGAUUGUAAACUGCUUUUGUAUGGGAGCAAUAAGGUCUUCGUGAAGGCCGAUGAGAGUACCAUACGAAUAAGCACCGGCUAACUCCGUGCCAGCAGCCGCGGUAAUACGGAGGGUGCAAGCGUUAUCCGGAUUUAUUGGGUUUAAAGGGUGCGUAGGCGGUUAUAUAAGUCAGCGGUGAAAUUUUUCGGCUCAACCGGAAACAUGCCGUUGAUACUGUAUAGCUUGAAUAUGGUUGCUGUGAGUGGAAUGUGUAGUGUAGCGGUGAAAUGCUUAGAUAUUACACAGAAUAUCGAUUGCGAAGGCAACUCACAAAGCCAAUAUUGACGCUGAGGCACGAAAGUGUGGGGAUCAAACAGGAUUAGAUACCCUGGUAGUCCACACUGUAAAC